rnacentral:rRNA from 1 species
GCCCUGAGGUGAGCCGCUGAGGACAAGACAGACAGUCCUCUGCACUCCCGCGUCUCGUCCUCUUCUGCUCCAUUCUUCUCCGCCGCUGCAGAGGCGGGAAGAGGGGGUGCGGCGGCGGCGGCGGCGGCGGCGGGUUGGCGGGCUUCAGUCGAGUAGCCGAAGUCCCACAGUAACCCUCUCUCACUCGUACUCACCGGGCUCCGUUCCGAGCAGCGUCGGCGUCAAAUACUGAUCGCAGCCCGUCUUGUUAUUGGAGAGCUUACCUGGCCCCUGAGGAGAGUAACUGUCGUAUCUACAACUAGUCUAACAAUAGGGACUCUUUUUAUCGACCUUCUUGAAUAAAAGUAUGUAUCCCGGGCCAAAAGAGCAGAGAUAGCGAAUAUAACUAGGACCGUUAAAACUCUGCCUGGAUGUCCGACCUCGUGUUAUGUUUAUACUCGAAGAAACCUAGUAUGAAUAGCGCAGUACACGACGUGAACAGUAAGUUAGUGAACGUCGGUCGGAACCCCAACACUGACCCUUCGUAGAACGACUCGUGACGUCCCGACUUAUAGGGUUCCAGUGUUUAAAGUAGAAUACCUAAGAACGUCUUGACCGACAUCAACGCACGCUGUAAGGACUUCAUUAACCUUGGCGAAAGCGAAACUUGUACGAGAAGUUUUAAGGCUAUACCACACCACAAGAGUAUUGACCCGAGUCGUGAGACUACGAGGACAAGGACGUUGUUAUACCCCAGGCAUUUGACCUUAAAGACUAUCGUAAAAACCAUAAGAACUAUCGUUGAACGAAGAAUCAACUUGAACCCAUAAGAUUUGGUUUAAGAAGUCUUCAACACGCUCCGGAAAAACAAGGACUUUAAUUUCCUCUACCUCGAUGUCCAGAACGAUAGAGUGAUGAACCACGAUACCACUACGGCGUGUUAGAAAAAGAGGUGAGUCGUAACCAUGAUAGUUCUUUUCAUGGUGCUAGUCAAGUACCCUAGUUUCUCCGGACAUCUAAGAUAUACUAACUUUCACGUAAACGGGAGUGUCAUCGGAAAGACUAGUUGUAGAGAUAGUAUAGACAAUCACCACGACAAACGUCACGUCUAUUAAACUUGGGACUUCUGGCCUACUUAACGUUACUAGAUCUAGAAUUGUUUCGAAGUAAGAACAAUUUCUUACAGGAGCCUUUAACCUCGAGUUUCCACAAGAGAUAACGGAAUAACCGUAGACCGGUCUCAAGAUGCUAAUGUCCUUGAAUACGUCCUGUUAUACAGUACGUCCCCAAAGACCUAGAAGCCUACUGUGGGACCAAUGCUUUGGAAGAUUGAUCCAGGGACCGUUAACACGGAUCAGACUAACACAGUGAUUAACCGCCAAGGAGUCGUCGACCCUUCAACUAAUAGUAACGUAGUUACUAGGACAGUAAACUUGAAGGAAAACGAGACCAUGGCGAGGAAUUUAAGUGGUCGUCGUUUUGUUUCUACCCCGGUGUGUGUUUAAGUUCUAAGUAAAGGCACGAGUGUACCCGCUAGCCGAGGAAGUAGUACCAGUAGUUGUAGAUGAAGGACUAUUGCUCGAAGCAGUCCGACGAAGAAGUGUCGCCUGAUAGGUGGCAGAGGGUCCACAAGAGGCCCUAUAAACCCAAGGAGCCGUACGACUAUAUGUAGCGGCGCUAGGAGAUGGAGCAGAAGUCCUUCUUGUCCUUCACAUGGAACGGCAACGAGCUCACGCUGCGCUUCGAACCCCUGCGUCCGGUGUGGCUCCCUCUUCCAAGAGACCCAGUAGAAGGCGCUCUCCUGUAGAGGUCGUACGUCGAAGGAGUAGUCGCGGGACGCAGACUAAACCUGAUCGGCUUCAUCGGCGUCGCUCCUUUGAUCUAUACAAACACCAGUACCACUACUACGUCAUCGACGUAUUGACUUCUUCAAUCCACAGUAGGCCAUAACUACAUCUAUUGGCUUCACUAAAAUAUCACCGGCUUAAUUUUAGAAAGAACGCCUUUACCUAUCAACCAUAUCAACGGUUAUUGAAAGCUACCAUGAUAGCUAACCUCUGUUCACCCAGAUAUAAUAUAGAUCUUUCUCUUUUUCUUACUUAAAGUAGACGAG